CGCGACCCCAGGUCAGGCGGGGCUACCCGCUGAGUUUAAGCAUAUCAAUAAGCGGAGGAAAAGAAA
rnacentral:rRNA from 1 species